UAAUACAGAGGGGGCCAGCGUUAUUCGGAAUUAUUGGGCGUAAAGGGCGCGUAGGCGGCCAUGCGUGUCUUCCGUGAAAUCCCUCGGCUCAACCGAGGACGUGCGGAAGAAACUGCAAGGCUCGAGUCCGGAAGAGGGGGGCGGAAUUCCCAGUGUAGCGGUGAAAUGCGUAGAUAUUGGGAGGAACACCAGUGGCGAAGGCGGUCCCCUGGGCCGGAACUGACGCUGAGGCGCGAAAGCGUGGGUAGCAAACGGGAUUAGAUACCCCGGUAGUCCACGCCGUAAACGAUGGGCACUUGGUGUCGCGGGUAUCGACCCCUGCGGUGCCGAAGCUAACGCAUUAAGUGCCCCGCCUGGGGAGUACGGUCGCAAGGCUG
rnacentral:rRNA from 1 species